UGCGAAGGGGGCUAGCGUUGCUCGGAAUGACUGGGCGUAAAGGGCGCGUAGGCGGAUGGCACAGUCAGAUGUGAAAUUCCCGGGCUUAACCUGGGGGCUGCAUUUGAUACGUGUGAUCUGGAGUGAGGAAGAGGGUCGUGGAAUUCCCAGUGUAGAGGUGAAAUUCGUAGAUAUCGGGAGGAACACCAGUGGCGAAGGCGGCGACCUGGACGGACAUUGACGCUGAGACGCGAAAGCGUGGGGAGCAAACAGG
rnacentral:rRNA from 1 species